GGGGUUGUGGCUCAGUGAUAGAGCACUCACCUAGCCAGUGAGAGGCCCUGGGUUCGAUCCUCAGCACUACA
rnacentral:tRNA from 1 species